UUGCACGAUGCAAACCCCGGGCUUCUCCUAAAUUCUUUCUUGAAGAUGAAGGCCCCAAUGCCCGUGCAAUAAGAUUCAGCUGUUUAGUGUUGCAGGUUGGCUAAUCUAUUGGUCUGUGCCUGUGUCAAAGCAACAGCAACAUGU
rnacentral:snoRNA from 1 species